rnacentral:lncRNA from 1 species
CCGCUACAGAAGUUCGAUCGGAGUCUGGUUCCCGUAGAAGUCCGGAUGGGGAUCAUUUGUUGAGGAAGCUCGGCCGAAGCCUGCCUGCAAUAGAAGUUUGGAAGGAAUUCAUUCACAAUAGAAGCUCAGGUGGAGGCUUACAGUAGAAAUCCGACGUGGACCGCUCGUAGUAGAAAUUCAAAGUAGACCGCUUGUAGUGGUAGCUCGGAGUAGAUCGCUUGUAGUAGAAGCUCGGAGUAGAUCGCUUGUGGUGGGGGCUCGGAGCUUGGCCCUUGUAAGAAUUCAGAUGAGGUCUACCUGCAAUAGGAGCUCAGGACUGAAGUCUG